GGUUGAUCCUGCCAGUAGUCAUAUGCUUGUCCCAAAGAUUAAGCCAUGCAUGUGUAAGUACGAUCUUAUAUAAGAGAAACUGUGUAUGGCUCAUUAAAUCAGUUAUAAUUUACUUGACGGUCACUUUACUACUUGGAUAACCGUGGUAAUUCUAGAGCUAAUACAUGCGAAAGGCCGCGCAAGCGGCUGUAUUUAUUAGAUAAGAGCCGGCGGGGAGCAAUCCUCAUUUGGUGAUUCAUGAUAACUGAACGGAUCGGAGGCCCUUGCGGCGCCGACGUGUCAAUCAAAUUU
rnacentral:rRNA from 1 species